rnacentral:lncRNA from 1 species
GUUUUUAACAUUUUAAAGUUGAGGGGGGAGGGGGGGGGGCCAAAUAAAGGAUCUGCCCCGGGUGCCAAAUGCCCCUGCUCCCAGGAGGCAAUUGACAAGCUCAGCCUCGGCACCAGCACAGCUUUGCACCACGCUCCGUAGUUAAUAGAAGCCCGAGAGGUAAAUUUGCCGCUUUAAUGCACUGUAUUUACAAAAAACUGCAGAAGUCACCCUUUCAUGCGAGCACACCGCAUGGCGGUCUGGCCCCCUUUUAUCAGGGCCGGACUGUGGAUACAAAUCAGCCCUGGAAAAAAAAAAUCUAUGCCAGCCCCAUAAGUCAUUGCACCAUAUAUUGUCGCAUGUAAAAACCGGGGAGGGAGAUCAGAAAUCUCACUGAUAUACAUAAGCUCAUUGACAUAAAAACACAAGCUCACUCACUAGCAGACGCACACACACACACACACACACAUGGAAGCAAGCUCACUCACUAACAGGCGCGCACACACACACACACACACACAACUUAAUGUAGUGGUUCUGGAGUCUGUAGCCUGUCCCUGCAGGCUUUUCAAUAUAAACACUGACUUUUCAGAUAAAAGGCAGUGUUUGCAUUGCUUCCUAGUGACAGCUCUAGUGACAGACACUCAGACAGUCACUAGAGGUGCUGCACAGAAAUCUCCCUCCCCGGUCCGCAGGUACCGUGCUGACAGCUGGCAGGGGAGGGAGUGAGAGAGGACUCGGGAGUUCUUACCUGCAGCUCCUCCGGGUCCUACUCUCGCAAGCACUGAGUGUUGCCGCGGCAACGCUCCAAAUCUCACGAGAGUGAACUCUAGCCCUGGAGCAAAGGGCUAGAGUUCACCUCACCACUGGAACCACCAGGAAUCCCCACCGGACCACCAGGGAUGGAGAAAUGUCCCCCCUCCUCCUCAAUAAAGGUAAGAAGGGAGGGGGGACAUAAUUAUAUUAAUUUUAUUAAAUAAAAAUUGAAAAAAUGUGUAUUAAAAAGCCUCCCUGAGGGCGGAGCCUGAACGCCGAUGGAGCAGGACGUGUAAACCCUGAGUUCUCCCGUCCACGAGCCACAAUCCGCCAACAUCGGCACCUUUUCCCCGACCACCCAAAAGCAAAAAAGGGUCACACGCUACCCGCAGCACCCCUCGCUCAACAUCUCCAUGGGGGGCAAUAAAAAAAAAAAGGACACCCCUCUAUCUGUGGCAUCGAUGUUCCGCGCCACCAGGGAACAGGGGCGGCCAUCUUUAACACAGGAGGCCCAAGAAUCCGGAGCUGAAACCGACGACAGCGAAGCCCCAGACAGAGAAGCAGCUACACACUGCCGCACAACGCCUGAAUCACUUACCAAAUCCGAUCUCCGCCAAAUGCUGCAAGAUGCCACAGCUGAUAUAAAGGCACACACAGCAACAGAACUGGAACGCCACAUUUCAGGCCUAAAAGGGGAAAUCGAAGCCCUGAACAACCGCUCGGCACAGGCAGAAGCUGACAUCACACAAAUUAAAGUGAACACAACCCAACACAAGCAAGAUAUUUUCUAUUUAAGCGACAAAGUGCAAUUUCUUGAAGACAGCCUGGAAGACCUCAAUAACCGGUCUCGCAGGAACAAUAUUA